rfam:Glossina fuscipes fuscipes unplaced genomic scaffold Scaffold191, whole genome shotgun sequence.
AAGGGGGUAGUUUUUAGCACGUAUGCGCCAUGGAUGGCGUAUCAUGAAUGUUGCUAUUAAGAUCCAGCAGUAUCUUUUGAAGAUUUUCUACCUCC